UGUUGCAGGGCAUUAAGGUGCCUGCUCCUUUAAGGGCUGAAACUGCUAGGAAGAGCGGGGUUGCAGUCAGUCAGAAAUCCCUCAACUGCAAGUUACCAUGGCAGCAGGAAUGAGGGAAUUAGCUGCACCUGCAGGCAGUCAGCUGACAGGAAGAGGCAGGGCCUGGGGCAUAUAUAAGCCCCAGGGCUGGGAUUAGAGGAUCAGUUCUCUGCCAGCAGUUAAGGGGGAAACAGUUUUCCUAGAAGAGGCUUAGUGAAGAGGCUUACCAACCCAUCUCCUGCUUUUGUAUGCAAUUUCUUCAUAUCUUCAAAGAAGUUAGCAACUGGGAGGGACCUUGUAGACCAUUGGGUCCAGCUCUUCUGCUCAAGGCAGGAAAGACUGCUGAGGUCAGAUCCAAGUGAGGUGUGCAUCCAGUCAUCUUCUGAAGAUCUGCAGGGAAGCUCGUUCACAUCCUUCUUGAACUGUGGCACCCACACAGCAUUCCAGCUGUCGACUCACCAAUGGUAACCCAGUUGAGCACAUACGAUAUCUGAACCAUUGUGAUUGUGGCAAGUUAUGUUACCUAUAUGCAGAGGGACUGCUGGUUCUGUUCUGUGUCAAAACUACAACUGGCUGAAUGGUGGCAGGGGUCUGGAGCUACAAAAAGCCUUUGGGACUGAAGUGCCUUCCUGGAUCUGGGUCAAAAGCUGAUUUGUGAAUAUAGUUAUGAAUCACAGCUACACCCAAAGUUCCUUAUGUUCAUUUUUUCAAAAGCAUUAGUCAUCUUAUUAGGCAGCAGAAACACUAUCCGAAGACUUCAGUGAGUGGCCACCUGAACAAUAAAUGUUCAGAGUGAGCAGUUUGGGAACAAUCUAUUGGUCGAAAAUUGCUUUGCCCAGUCUACCUUUUGAAUGCACAGGAAUAACAUAUGUGGAAACCAAGAUCUAUUUAGUUUCCACUAAAUGGAAACUACAAUCCAUUUGACAACUCACUAAUCAAAAGUUGGGACUAACUGCCUAACAGCUCAAACAACUUAAGUCAUUUUAAUUUUUAGUGAAAUGAUAUCGGGGCAACAUUUUCAAAAGUGGCAGUGGGUCGAGUGGAUGGAUCUAGGAUUUUGAAAAGCGGGGUGCAGAUGGUAUGGUACAUCAUAAAAACAAAACAAACAAAACAAAAACCGCAAAACAUUUUUUUUUACAGUUAAACAGAAACUAUAAGCUGAAGUAACAUGCACUAUAUUAAAAACAGAUGAAACUUUAUUAGAAUGUUUGGUAGAUGAUAUAGUUUAAAAAAAAACCCAAAAGCUAGACAAAAAGUCAAAAGACAUUGCUUCCUUAGUCCUGUAGCCACUAUAGUUAAGUGUAUGUUUCUUAUUCUGAUCUGUAAAGCAAAAUCUAGCCUUCUUGACAGUGCCUUUAAUGCUUCACUGUAAGCUACUUCUACCCCGAGUUAAUAUUUCCACACCCAAACUAAGGUUUUUAGCUAGAGUUAAAAACAGUCUGCAGGGCUGUGAAAUAGACAGACAUAACAGACAGCAAAACUACAGGGGAAAAAAAAGCAUAUUUUGAAUAGUAGAACAUCAAAACCAUUUAAAAGGAGAGAUGGCCAUUAGCGUACAUGAAGUGAAGACAGAUUAAUAGGAAUCAGAUGGUUAUAAUGAGCCAUGAAAUCAGUUGAGUCCUUCAGAGCUGCCUGACUAGAAAUGCCUUCCCAAGCAGUUGGUUUUAAAGUUUGGGUGAAGCAGGCAUUAAAAGUAGGUGCAACUGCACCCCCGCCCCCCACCUGCCAUCCACCCAUGGACGUUUAAAUGCAUAAAGAUGCAGAUAGGUGCAUGGUGGAACUUUCAAAAGUGCCUAAGAGCCCAAACACCAUGAAAUACCCAUAAAAAUCUGGCCCUUUUGCUUCUAAGUCACUGAGGCAUGUCUGAAAAAUGUAUCCUUUGUGUUCUAACAUGAGUCUUGAAAAAUUAAAUUUUUGUAAUGAAUCUGUCAAAUAUAAGAACAAAACAAAAUAGGAUUUAGGAAUAUUCUUCUCAAAAUACUAAAUACACAUUAAUUCUAGCUAAUAUCCAGGCAUCAUCAGGAAUAUUCUCAGCAAGAAAAAUAAGAUUACAUUUUCAGACUGUACUCACAGCAACAUCUUCCUGGAACAAGAUCUCUGGUAUGAAGUAGGACUUGUCUAAAGCAAUUAAAAGAAAAUUAUUUCUGUUGUGUUUGGUGAGUGACAACAUAAUCCUCUCUCAAGUAUAUUCUUCUGUACUCUUUCCAUUGUCCAGGUGUAAAUUUUGGCCUCAAUCAUCACUUGCCAUUUUUGUUGAGUUAUAAAUGUAAAGCCCGAAUCUGAAAAGCAGCCCAUCUAGGGACCUCACCUGGGCAUUGUAAAGUGUAGGAAAUUCUUAUAUAACGCCUAAGAAAUCUGGAACUAUUAUACUGAAAUUAGAGGACAGGUGUAUGAGAUCUGCUUAAUAAAGGAGAUAAGAAUGAGUA